rnacentral:lncRNA from 1 species
UGGCAUCACAUCUUUUAUUCCUUCUUUGGUUUUUAUUUUUUUAGAGCUCCUUCUCUUCUUCCUCUCUUCCUCCUCUAGAUAUCCUUUUGCUUUGGAGUGUCCAAGGUGUUUGAAGAAGAAGAAGAAAAUCAGCCUCCAAGUUCCUUGCAAGCUAGCACUUCCAAGGAUCCUGAUCUGCGCUGGUCUUCGCAUGGACUUUCUGUAGAGGCUGGAUGACUUCAUGUGGCUACGAGUAAUCUGAAAGAGAGCC